CCGUGCACCUGAGUGCCGGCCUCCAGCCGCUCCGCUCCCGGGACGACUUCCCCCGUCCCGGGCGAGGCAGCGGAUGGGGACCAGCCCGCAGGUCCAAGACCCG
rfam:Terrabacter sp. 28 contig32, whole genome shotgun sequence.